rnacentral:rRNA from 1 species
AGCAGGCGCGCAAAUUACCCAAUCCCGACACGGGGAGGUAGUGACAAUAAAUAACAAUACGGGGCUCUUUCGGGUCUCGUAAUUGGAAUGAGUACAAUUUAAAUCCCUUAACGAGGAACAAUUGGAGGGCAAGUCUGGUGCCAGCGGCCGCGGUAAUUCCAGCUCCAAUAGCGUAUAUUAAAGUUGUUGCAGUUAAAAAGCUCGUAGUUGAAUUUCGGGAUUGANNNNUCGGUCGUGCCUUAAGGGGUAUGAACUGGUGUAGUCAAUUUCUCACCUUCUGGAGAACCGCGAUGCCCUUAAUUGGGUGUCACGGGGAACCAGGACCUUUACUUUGAAAAAAUUAGAGUGUUUAAAGCAGGCAUUUUGCUUGAAUACAUUAGCAUGGAAUAAUAAAAUAGGACGGCAUGAUUCUAUUUUGUUGGUUUCUAGGAUCACCGUAAUGAUUAAUAGGGAUAGUUGGGGGCAUUAGUAUUCAAUUGUCAGAGGUGAAAUUCUUGGAUUUAUUGAAGACUAACUACUGCGAAAGCAUUUGCCAAGGAUGUUUUCAUUAAUCAAGAACGAAAGUUAGGGGAUCGAAGACGAUCAGAUACCGUCGUAGUCUUAACCAUAAACUAUGCCGACUAGGAAUCAGACGAUGUUAAUUUUUUAAUGACUCGUUUGGCACCUUACGGGAAACCAAAGUGUUUGGGUU